UACGUAGGACCCAAGCGUUAUCCGGAGUGACUGGGCGUAAAGAGUUGCGUAGGUGGUGUGUAAAGUGAAUAGUGAAAUCUGGUGGCUCAACCAUACAGGCUAUUAUUCAAACUCACACACUCGAGAACAGCAGAGGUAACUGGAAUUUCUGAAGUAGGGGUAAUAUCCGUAGAUAUCAGAAGGAACACCAAUGGCGUAGGCAGGUUACUGGGCUGUUUCUGACACUGAGGCACGAAAGCGUGGGGAGCGAACCGG
rnacentral:rRNA from 1 species